rnacentral:rRNA from 1 species
GACGAACGCUGGCGGCGUGCUUAACACAUGCAAGUCGAACGGAAAGGCCCUGCUUGCAGGGUACUCGAGUGGCGAACGGGUGGGUAACACGUGGGUGAUCUGCCCUGCACUUCGGGAUAAGCCUGGGAAACUGGGUCUAAUACCGGAUAGGAGCCAUUUUUAGUGUGAUGGUUGGAAAGUUUUUUCGGUGUAGGAUGAGCUCGCGGCCUAUCAGCUUGUUGGUGGGGUAAUGGCCUACCAAGGCGGCGACGGGUAGCCGGCCUGAGAGGGUGGACGGCCACAUUGGGACUGAGAUACGGCCCAGACUCCUACGGGAGGCAGCAGUGGGGAAUAUUGCACAAUGGGCGCAAGCCUGAUGCAGCGACGCCGCGUGGGGGAUGACGGCCUUCGGGUUGUAAACUCCGUUCGCUAGGGACGAAGCUUUUUGUGACGGUACCUAGAUAAGAAGCACCGGCUAACUACGUG